rnacentral:rRNA from 1 species
UACGGAGGGUGCGAGCGUUGUCCGGAAUCAUUGGGCGUAAAGGGCGCGUAGGUGGCCCGGUCAGUUCGUGGUGAAAGCGCGGGCUCAACCCUGCGUCGGCCAUGAAUACUGCCGCGGCUGGAGCACUGUAGAGGCAGGCGGAAUUCCGGGUGUAGCGGUGGAAUGCGUAGAGAUCCGGAAGAACACCGGUGGCGAAGGCGGCCUGCUGGGCAGUUGCUGACACUGAGGCGCGACAGCGUGGGAGCAACAGGG